UACGGGGGAGCAAGCGUUGUUCGGAUUUACUGGCGUAAAGGGCGCGUAGGCGGCCAGCACAAGUCAGUUGUGAAAUCUCCGGGCUUAACUCGGAAAGGUCAACUGAUACUGUGCGACUAGAGUGCAGAAGGGGCAACUGGAAUUCUCGGUGUAGCGGUGAAAUGCGUAGAUAUCGAGAGGAACACCUGCGGCGAAGGCGGGUUGCUGGGCUGACACUGACGCUGAUGCGCGAAAGCCAGGGGAGCGAACGGG
rnacentral:rRNA from 1 species